rnacentral:lncRNA from 1 species
AGAUGAAUGUUUCCAAAAGAAUUAGAUGACUAUAUGCAAUUUCCAUAAUGAUAAAGAAGAUAUGUCAAAUUAUGAUAUGCCCAUAAGUUAUGAGUCAUUCUUCAGAGUGGCCUGCUGGAUAGCCAUGAACAUUUUUAACUGUCAUAUAUUUUAUGUACUAUAUAUAUAUAUACACUUGAAUAUAAGCCAAACUGUGUAUAAGCAACCCCUCCAACUUCAGGGUUUAAAAAUCGGUAAAAAUGUGAAACCUAUGUAUAAGCCUACCUUCCGACUUUAGCACUUAAAAUUCAAUAAAAAUUUGAAACCAAUAAAUU